AGGUACGUUGUUCUAUUGGUCCCCUAAUCCUUUCUUCACGUGUCCUUUGUCAAUGUCUUUAUUCUUUUCUCCAUGUACAUUUUCUAUUACAACUUACAAGAGCAAGGCUUUUAGCUUUACUUGUGUACAUUUCUUUUACCUUGACCUAAGUAGUCAAGGGCACCCGUUCCC